rnacentral:rRNA from 1 species
AUUGAACGCUGGCGGCAGGCUUAACACAUGCAAGUCGAGCGGGGACUUCGGUCCUAGCGGCGAACGGGUGAGGAAUGCUUGGGAAUCUGCCCAGUAGCGGGGGAUAACGUUUCGAAAGGAACGCUAAUACCGCAUACGCCCUACGGGGGAAAGGGGGGAUCUUCGGACCUCUCACUAUUGGAUGAGCCCAAGUCGGAUUAGCUAGUUGGUGGGGUAAAGGCCUACCAAGGCGACGAUCCGUAGCUGGUCUGAGAGGAUGAUCAGCCACACUGGAACUGAGACACGGUCCAGACUCCUACGGGAGGCAGCAGUGGGGAAUAUUGGACAAUGGGCGAAAGCCUGAUCCAGCCAUGCCGCGUGUGUGAAGAAGGCCUUCGGGUUGUAAAGCACUUUAAGCGAGGAGGAAUGGCUCUUGGUUAAUAACCUUGAGCGGUGACGUUACUCGCAGAAUAAGCACCGGCUAACUCUGUGCCAGCCGCCGCAGUAAGAC